CAGAGGAGCAGGCAGGCUUCAGGUUGAGUGCUGGCUGUGUUUAGAGUCAGAGCCAAAUCUUGGCUCCCCCAUGAGCGACCU